CGCAUCUGUGCAUGCAGCAUAUCAAUAAGCGGAGGAAAAGAAACUAACAAGGAUUCCCUUAGUAACGGCGAGUGAAGCGGGAAGAGCUCAAAUUUGAAAUCUUCAAGGUUUUACCUUGACGAAUUGUAGUUUAAAGAAGUGUUUUCUGUUGAAGUUUUGGUAAAAGUUCUUUGGAAUAGGACAUCAUAGAGGGUGAGAAUCCCGUAUUUGACCAUUAUUUUCAGCUGUGUGAUACACUUUCAAAGAGUCGGAUUGUUUGGGAAUGCAGUCCAAAAUGGGUGGUAAAUUUCAUCUAAAGCUAAAUAUUGGCGAGAGACCGAUAGCGAACAAGUACCGUGAGGGAAAGAUGAAAAGAACUUUGAAAAGAGAGUUAAACAGUACGUGAAAUUGUCAAAAGGGAAGCGUUUGACACCAGUGUUGUUUUCUCGAAAAUCAAUUAAAAAGAGUUUAGAUUUUGUUGUGUAUUGACCUUAACAGCUUGCAUUUCAAUUUUCUUGCUUUUUUUAAUGCACUUUUCGUUUAACAAGUCAACAUCAGUUUCUUUUGUUGUAAAAAGGUCAUUGGAAGGUGGCUUCCUUUUCGGAGAAAGUGUUUAUAAGCCUUUGACUCCUGCAAUCGGAGAGACUGAGGUCUGCAGCGUAGAUCCUUCGGGGUUAGAUACAUUUGUGCUAAGUUAUAGCUUUUUAUAGACAACUUGUUGACUAUGAUUAGUCUUGUAGCUUACUCGCUUAUGCUAUUUUACCUACGCUUAGGAUGUUGACACACGCGCGUGCUCG
rnacentral:rRNA from 1 species